rnacentral:lncRNA from 15 species
CCCCACAUCAGCAGCCAGUUUGCUAGUUACAUGUCCUUUAAAUCCAGUGUAACAUUUUAUCUAUUUGCUUAUUAUUAUCUAAGGUCAAUGUUUUGAAAUGAAAAGAUGUAAAAACACUGAGCCAAUUUCUGCAAUGCUUUUGUCUUAAACAGAGACGACAUCCUGGAGGCUGUUAAAGCAGAAGACUUUCAGACAGACAAAGAAAUUACGGAUCUGGAGAAAAACCUGCUGAGUGGGCAUGUUCUGUCCAACAGAAUGUAUCUGUGGAAACACAGAGGAUUUGAUCCUGCCCUUAAAAAGCAUUACAGCGAACAUGUCACUUUAUUCAGUGACAUAAAGACCGACAAGAUUAUCCAGAGACUGGCAAAAAUCCUGACAGUACCUGGAACUGUAGCUGAGAAGCAGCUAUACAUAACAGAGGUCGUUUUGCCAGAGGUGUUGAUUCAGUGGUUGCAAGGCAACAGCAACAUGUGUUGGUACCAAGCGGAAUCUGUGCUUGUAACCACCACACCUUCAAAGGAAAAGAAAGGCCCCCAGUGCAAGGAAGACAGCUGAUAAAACAGACAGCACAGAAGAGGAAAACAUUCUCAUCCAAGGCAGCCUGGCUGCAGCUGACUGGUGCCGUAGGGCGACAUUCGAUCGAGUGCUGAAACUCCCUGC